UACGUAGGAUGCAAGCGUUAUCCGGAUUUAUUGGGCGUAAAGCGUCCGCAGGUGGCACCUCAAGUCUGCUGUCAAAGACCGGGGCUUAACCCCAGAAAGGCAGUGGAAACUGAAGUGCUAGAGUGCAGUAGGGGUAGAGGGAAUUCCCGGUGUAGCGGUGAAAUGCGUAGAGAUCAGGAAGAACACCGGUGGCGAAAGCGCUCUGCUAGGCCGCAACUGACACUGAGGGACGAAAGCUAGGGGAGCGAAUGGG
rnacentral:rRNA from 1 species